rnacentral:rRNA from 1 species
GCAAGUCGAACGAGAACGGAGAGCUUGCUCUCCAAGUACAGUGGCGAAAGGGCGAGUAAUGCAUUCCUAACGUGCCCCCAGGCUAGGGAUAGCGUCGAGAAAUCGGCGGUAAUACCUGAUAACCCCACGAAGUCGUAUGGCUUUGUGGGCAAAGGCUUGCUACCUGGGGAUCGGGGAAUGUCCUAUCAGCUUGUUGGUAAGGUAACGGCUUACCAAGGCUAAGACGGGUAGCGGGUGUGAGAGCACGACC